UGCAAGUCGAACGAGAACGGGUCUUAGCUUGCUAAGAUUGUCAGCUAAGUGGCGCACGGGUGAGUAAUAUAUAGUUAACCUGCCCUAGAGAGAGGGAUAACGUUUGGAAACGGACGCUAAUACCUCAUAUGCCUUUAAUACAUAAGUAUGCAAGGGAAACAUUUAUGGCUCUAGGAUGGGACUGUACGGUAUCAGUUAGUUGGUGAGGUAAUGGCUCACCAAGACAAUGACACCUAACUGGUUUGAGAGGAUGAUCAGUCACACUGGAACUGAGACACGGUCCAGACUCCUACGGGAGGCAGCAGUGGGGAAUAUUGCACAAUGGACGAAAGUCUGAUGCAGCAACGCCGCGUGGAGGAUGACACAUUUCGGUGCGUAAACUCCUUUUAUAUAGGAAGAUAAUGACGGUACUAUAUGAAUAAGCACCGGCUAACUCCGUGCCAGCAGCCGCGGUAAUACGGAGGGUGCAAGCGUUACUCGGAAUCACUGGGCGUAAAGAGCGUGUAGGCGGAUAGGUAAGUCAGAAGUGAAAUCCAAUAGCUCAACUAUUGAACUGCUUUUGAAACUGCUUAUCUAGAAUAUGGGAGAGGUAGAUGGAAUUUCUGGUGUAGGGGUAAAAUCUGUAGAGAUCAGAAGGAAUACCGAUUGCGAAGGCGAUCUACUGGAACAUUAUUGACGCUGAGACGCGAAAGCGUGGGGAGCA
rnacentral:rRNA from 1 species